rnacentral:rRNA from 1 species
UUGAACGCUGGCGGCAUGCCUUACACAUGCAAGUCGAACGGCAGCACGGGGGGAACCCUGGUGGCGAGUGGCGAACGGGUGAGUAAUAUAUCGGAACGUGCCCUGGAGUGGGGGAUAACUAGUCGAAAGACUAGCUAAUACCGCAUACGAUCUAAGGAUGAAAGUGGGGGAUCGCAAGACCUCAUGCUCGUGGAGCGGCCGAUAUCUGAUUAGCUAGUUGGUAGGGUAAAAGCCUACCAAGGCAUCGAUCAGUAGCUGGUCUGAGAGGACGACCAGCCACACUGGGACUGAGACACGGCCCAGACUCCUACGGGAGGCAGCAGUGGGGAAUUUUGGACAAUGGGGGCAACCCUGAUCCAGCAAUGCCGCGUGAGUGAAGAAGGCCUUCGGGUUGUAAAGCUCUUUUGUCAGGGAAGAAACGGUCCGGGCUAAUAUCCUGGGCUAAUGACGGUACCUGAAGAAUAAGCACCGGCUAACUACGU